AAAGUGAAAAUGUUGGGAUAACACUUUGAUUCAAGUGGGAUUAAAUUCUUGAGCAAGUCAUUAUCCUAAUUCUACAAAAAAAACUCACGCACACCCUCCCUUCUCCUCCCCAUUCUCGGCCUCCCCUCUCUCUCUCUAUACUCUCUUUUCCUCCAUUGAUGUCCAUUGAAGAAAGCUUAGAGAAGCUUCAUCAAACACUACUAUGAGAUAAUCCACCAUCCAAUCCAAUCAAAUACCAUCAUAUCUCAUCAAAUUCAAGAAGCUAGAGCUAAGAUCAAAGUUGGAGCAAAGUCUUGAUCACCUUUUGAAUCCAUGAACACGAGCAGAGCAAGGAAGUAAGUAACUCCACUUUGACGAGAGAUUUUGAGUAAGGUCUUCAGGAUAAGCGGAGGGGGAGUAUGGUGCGGUGCUGGUGGAGAAUGUUUCGGGUUGACGUUUUCUUUCUCUAUCAUAUGUCUGUUUUGUCGAUAGAGUUUUGAUAUGAAGUUAUGUUAAAUAGAGUUUGAUGUUUAAGAUACUUAGUUUCCUUUGAAAAUCAAGCAUUUUACUCACGAUUAUGUGUCUUCAUACAUAUAGUCGGUUCACCUUUUGUUGUCACACUCUGAAUAUUAUGAUUCUACAUAAAAAUUGAGUUACCCUUGUUUUGCUUUUCAUGUUGAGAUUCCCGAUAUUUAUCGAGUUAUGACGAUGUUGAUGGAUAUACCCUUUUGAUGAAUUAUGAUAAUCUUUCCUUAUCAUGUUUCUUCGUGAGCUUUCGCUGUUGAUCUAUGUAUUCUUUCUAUCUUUCCCCUUUCUUUUAUUAAUCGUAUCGAUACUCGAUCCCCGCUAUUACUAGUGUCGGAAUCGGGCUGCGACAAAUUUCUUGUGCAGAGUAUACAGAUUGAGACUUGUGACACCUCAGUUUGUCGUUGGAGAACAAAGUGGUUCCUCACUCCCUGUGGGAUUCGACUCUACACUUGCCACUAAGACUGAGUUCUUGUUGUGGGACGUAGGAGCGUUUAUCGUCUGUACUGGGCAUACACAAGUAUUUUGCCCGCACC